CUACGGGGUGCAGCAGUGAGGAAUAUUGCACAAUGGGGGGAACCCUGAUGCAGCAACGCCGCGUGGAGGAUGACGCAUUUCGGUGUGUAAACUCCUUUUAUAUGUCAAGGAAAUGACGGUAGCAUAUGAAUAAGCACCGGAUAACUCCGUGCCAGCAGCCGCGGUAAUACGGAGGGUGCAAGCGUUACUCGGAAUCACUGGGCGUAAAGGACGCGUAGGCGGGUUGGAAAGUCAGGUGUGAAAUCCUACAGCUUAACUGUAGAACUGCACUUGAAACUUCUAAUCUAGAGUAUGGGAGGGGGAGAUGGAAUUAGUGGUGUAGGGGUAAAAUCCGUAGAUAUCACUAGGAAUACCUAAAGCGAAGGCGAUCUCCUGGAACAUUACUGACGCUAAGGCGUGAAAGCGUGGGGAGCAAACAGGAUUAGAUACCCUCGUAGUC
rnacentral:rRNA from 1 species